rnacentral:rRNA from 1 species
GGAGCUUGCUCCAUUACCUAGUGGCGGACGGGUGAGUAACACGUGAGCAACCUGGCCCAGAGUGGGGGAUAACGUCCGGAAACGGACGCUAAUACCGCAUGAAGUGCAGGAGGGGCAUCCCUCUUGUACCAAAGGAGUAAUCCGCUUUGGGAUGGGCUCGCGUCCGAUUAGAUAGUUGGUGGGGUAAUGGCUCACCAAGUCUGCGAUCGGUAGCCGGACUGAGAGGUUGAACGGCCACAUUGGGACUGAGACACGGCCCAGACUCCUACGGGAGGCAGCAGUGGGGGAUAUUGCACAAUGGGGGAAACCCUGAUGCAGCGACGCCGCGUGGGUGAAGACGGCCUUCGGGUUGUAAAGCCCUGUUGCAGAGGACGAUAAUGACGGUACUCUGUCAGAAAGCCACGGCUAACUACGUGCCAGCAGCCGCGGUAAUACGUAGGUGGCAAGCGUUGUCCGGAAUUACUGGGUGUAAAGGGAGCGUAGGCGGGACCUUAAGUUGGAUGUGAAAUGCCGCGGCUUAACCGCGGAGCUGCAUCCAAAACUGGGGUUCUUGAGUGAAGUAGAGGUAGGCGGAAUUCCUAGUGUAGCGGUGAAAUGCGUAGAUAUUAGGAGGAACACCAGUGGCGAAGGCGGCCUACUGGGCUUUAACUGACGCUGAGGCUC